CAACUUCCAAUUUUCUUAAUGAAAACAUGCUAGCUAGAGGUGAAAGUGUCUUCUUAAGCCACAGUGGUGGCCUUGAUACAGAUGGCCAUGAGCUGCCUCAACUGGUUUAUGUUUCUCAUGAGAAGUGACUUGGCUUUCAGCAUCACAAAAAAGGUGAAGCAAUGAAUGCAUAUAUUGGCUUUGGAUAAAUUGAAUAAGCAAGCAAAUUCCGAAGCUGGAACAGGACAUUGAGUUGCUUAAAGCAGAGGCUAAAAGAAAAGUUGAAUUUAGUUUUUAUGCUAUUGAAGAAACUCCAGAAGAUAUUGAGUGUGUAGAGUCUGGGAGCUCCUGAAACUUCAAGCUCCUUAGAAUCCAAUGAGGCCAUGAGAAUAGCAAAGCUUGCAAAGCUAGACACUGAAGUAAA